rnacentral:sRNA from 1 species
AUACCCUCCUGCCAGGUCGCAGGUCCCUCCCCGGCCCGGGGCAGCCCGGCGUUGAGAGAUGGAGCCCAAAGACCAGCCACUAAUGCUGAGGGGCAUGGGGCUGAGCUGCUGCCUGCACCUCUUCAUGGAGACUGAGCAGAUCCCAGAGCCGGAGGGCAAGGGAGGGCUGGGCCACGGGGAUGGGUCCUGAGGGUGAAGAGGCCCUGUGCAGCUGCCCUGGUGGUGACCGCCUGCAGGUGGCACUUCGAAUCCGCCCGCUCAAUGACGCAGAACUGGAGGAGGGAGCCGCAGUCAUCGCCCACAAAGUGGGGGACCAGAUGGUGGUGCUCAUGGACCCCGGCGAGGACCCUGAGGACGUGGCGCGCACACACCGGUCCCGGGAGCGGACCUUCAUCUUCGACAGGGUGUUUGACCAGCACGCAUCUCAG